GCGGAUGUAGCUCAGUUGGUAGAGCCCCGGAUUGUGAUUCCGGUUGUCGUGGGUUCGAGUCCCAUCGUUCGCCCCA
rnacentral:tRNA from 1 species